ACAGUCACCUUAUUCAUUGUUUGGCCAUAAAAAGAAUCUUUCUUUUUCAUUCAUCAACUAGGUUAAGUUGAUAAGCUCUUUCUCUUUCUCUUUCUUUCGUUUAAUGCCAUUGGUGGCCUUGAAUUUACAGUGACAACUGCGCCAAAAAGGACAGCACCAGAGAAAAGCAAAGCAAUGGCUGAAACUAGACAUCUGUACUGGUCAAUCCUCGUGCCUUCUGCUUCUUGUAAAUGAGCUUGGAUUUGUAGCCUAGAUUGCCACUGUUUAGUAGAACUCAGGGCAUGAAUGCACAGCUGAGACAAGUGGCAAGUGGGGUACUUGAAAAUUACUCUACUAAGACACAAGUUUGUCAAAUUGAUACAGCAAAUUGCAAAACUGUCACCAUGUUCAAAAAUGUGAUUAUGCACAUCUAUUUUGUGCAACAACUGACCUGUUAUUUAUUGUGAUUACUUCUUA